UCCGAGUCGGCUGAAGCACAGUAAACACAGUCGGCCCGAUACUGGCUGAGUGCUGCCACUGUUGGCGGAGUUUCAAGUCGGCUGAGGCACUGUCCCCUUGAAUGGGCCGAUACUGACAAGCAGUAGUUGGGCUGGUUACUGUGUUUCUUAUUUGGCCCGAUUGUGGUUCGACGGGCUACUGCCAGUGUUCGAAGCAAUUUCGGCAGAUGGAUGUCAUACAGUGUGUGGCCGGAUACUUCAGGGACGAGCACUGAUCAGUAUCACGGCUGUUGGCGGCAAAAAUGAAACAUUUAGCGACAGACGGACACUAAACGUACAUGGCCCAAUUCUGUAAAGUGACUUUCGGCCCAUUACCUGUGGAAGAGCCAUAAGCAGAGUACCGUUCAGUUUGAAACCAGGGCGGCGCGAAACUGUCUCGUUUUGGACACUGGCUGUGGCAACACUGACCAGAGACCUGCAAUCCUUUGGAUGAAGAAGGCUACAUUUGUGAACCAUUUCUUGUGUUGGUUAAACAGGAGAUAUGAAGAGUUCUUGAUGACAUGCUGUCCAUGCAUCUCAAAUUGAGAAGGAUGGAUGGAAAGAACUCUGACCAACCCCCAACUGAGAGAGCUGAGGUGGCUAUCAUUUGGAGACACCCCCCGACUGCUAGUGCUGCUGAAACAGGUGGAGGCAACAAUGAAGCAGCAACAGAAAGAGAAGGCAGGUGGCAAA